rnacentral:lncRNA from 1 species
AUAUUAUAGGACAGCUUCUGGCAUAGUAUUUAUGAAUUGAUGAGUGCCAUCAGAAAGCUGUAUCAUGAGCUGCCUGCACUUCUAAAGUGUCCAGUGGAUUUUUAAUCACAUGAGGAUGAUGACAUCUAUGCUCAAGUAAGGGAAGAAACUAACUCAAAGAUCGUAUGUGUAGUAAAUCAUCAAACCUGGAAAUAGGGUUAUGAGAAGAAGCUCAGAGCAGAGCACCGAAAGUGGCCACUACCAGCAUGAAGAGCCCAACAAUUCAAACUGGUAAGUGGGUCUCUUUUUCUAGGUUUCAGGAUAUCUGUCGAUUCUGUGUCUUAUGCAAAAAGUCUGCAUAGUUUAUAAAUAAAA